rnacentral:rRNA from 1 species
CUAUANAUGCAGUCGAGCGAUGGAUUGAGAGCUUGCUCUNAUGAAGUUAGCGGCGGACGGGUGAGUAACACGUGGGUAACCUGCCCAUAAGACUGGGAUAACUCCGGGAAACCGGGGCUAAUACCGGAUAACAUUUUGAACUGCAUGGUUCGAAAUUGAAAGGCGGCUUCGGCUGUCACUUAUGGAUGGACCCGCGUCGCAUUAGCUAGUUGGUGAGGUAACGGCUCACCAAGGCAACGAUGCGUAGCCGACCUGAGAGGGUGAUCGGCCACACUGGGACUGAGACACGGCCCAGACUCCUACGGGAGGCAGCAGUAGGGAAUCUUCCGCAAUGGACGAAAGUCUGACGGAGCAACGCCGCGUGAGUGAUGAAGGCUUUCGGGUCGUAAAACUCUGUUGUUAGGGAAGAACAAGUGCUAGUUGAAUAAGCUGGCACCUUGACGGUACCUAACCAGAAAGCCACGGCUAACUACGUGCCAGCAGCCGCGGUAAUACGUAGGUGGCAAGCGUUAUCCGGAAUUAUUGGGCGUAAAGCGCGCGCAGGUGGUUUCUUAAGUCUGAUGUGAAAGCCCACGGCUCAACCGUGGAGGGUCAUUGGAAACUGGGAGACUUGAGUGCAGAAGAGGAAAGUGGAAUUCCAUGUGUAGCGGUGAAAUGCGUAGAA